UACGUAGGGCGCAAGCGUUGUCCGGAAUUAUUGGGCGUAAAGAGCUCGUAGGCGGUCCGUCACGUCCGCUGUGAAAACCCAGGGCUCAACCCUGGGCUUGCAGUGGAUACGGGUAGACUAGAGGCAGGUAGGGGAGAAUGGAAUUCCCGGUGUAGAGGUGAAAUUCGUAGAUAUCGGGAGGAACACCGGUGGCGAAGGCGGCGAUCUGGGUAGAUACUGACGCUGAGGUGCGAAAGCGUGGGGAGCAAACAGG
rnacentral:rRNA from 1 species